GGUAAAGUCNCGGUNCCGAUAGUUGACUUACCCUUAUUAUUCACUAUGCUGCAGAUUUGGCAUUUGGUGUCUGAUUGACUAUUGUGAUACCUUUCCGGAAGCGUAACGGCACUACGAGUCAAACUCAUGGCUCAUGCCAUGAUGUAUAGGUCUUUUUUUGGCCAUCCGAGUCCGUUUAGGGCUUCAAAAUGUAGUUUUCUUAUUUUCGAUUAGAGUUGACCGUUUCGAUCGAGCCCUUAACGUUGUCGAAUCCAGUUGAAUUUUUUAUCAUAGACAUCUUUCAUCAUAAUGAUCAUAUCUGACAGUCGAAUUUUAGUUUGUGAAUUUUAGUCAUCGGAAUCACAACGUGUCUACUAUUUACCGUUAUUCGGGUUUAUGGGAAGCCCUAUCGUCGGAAGGUAAAUGUCUCAAAAUUUUUAUAUGGGCAGUUGCGUCUCAUCUACGUGAGAGUUUUUUGUGUGGAAGGUUUGACCAAACUACGUAAUAUAGAGGGAGAUAUGAGCGCUUUUGUGUGAUAAGUGACGAUAGAUUAUGGUUGACCGUUUCGAUCGAGCCCUUAACUUUGUCGGAUCCAGUUGAAUUUUUUACCAUAGACAUAUUUCGUCAUAAUGAUCAUAUCUAACGGUCGAAUUUUGGUUUGUGAAUUUUAGUCAUCGGAAUCACAACAUGUCUACUAAUGUUGUAUAACUUGUUUAGUAGGUUAUACAACUUUGUGAACCAACUCUACAUAGGAAGCAAAAUUAUUAAAAAUCUUGUGAAAUAAGAUGUGUUCAGAAUGGUGAAAUACGGCUAUGGUUCAAAAAUCACGUAAAUCGGGUAAAGUCUCGGAGCCGAUAGUAGCGGUCAACUCUAUUUACCGUUAUUAUUCCUUAUGGGGAGCCCUAUCGUCGGAAGGUAAAUGUCUCAAAAUUUUUAUAUAGACGGUUGCGUCUCAUCUACGUGAGAGUUUUUCGUGUAGAAGAUUUGACCAAACUACGCAAUAUAGGGCGAGAUAUGAGCGUUUUCGUGAAUUUAUAGACUUUAGCCGACGAAAAUAU
rnacentral:lncRNA from 1 species